rnacentral:rRNA from 1 species
UACGGAGGGUGCAAGCGUUAUCCGGAUUCACUGGGCUUAAAGGGUGCGUAGGCGGCUAGGUAAGUCCGUGGUGAAAUCCUGCAGCUUAACUGCAGAACUGCCAUGGAUACUAUUUAGCUUGAAUGUCGUGGAGGUUAGCAGAAUAUGUCAUGUAGCGGUGAAAUGCUUAGAUAUGACAUAGAAUACCCAAUGCGAAGGCAGCUAACUACGCGAUAAUUGACGCUGAUGCACGAAAGCGUGGGGAUCAAACAGG